CUGCUGGCUUCGGCAGCACAUACACUAAAAUUGGAAUGAUACAGAGAAGAUUAGCAUGGCCCCUGAGUAAGAAUGACACGCAAAUUCAUGAAGCUUUGGGUCUUCAU
rnacentral:snRNA from 1 species